GUCUUAUCGUCAGGUAUGCUGAACCACAGUAUUUUUGAUACCACACUUCAUCUCCACUUCCUGUUUCUCCAGGGACUGAGAAGGGAGAUACGGCAGAGGAAUCAGACCUCUCUGGAAGACUUCAUCUUUGAAGGGCUCUUUGAUGACUCCCUCACCCAUCUUUUUCUUUUCUCCUUGACCAUGGUGCUCUUCCUUAUUGCAGACUUUACUGCCCCUUCAGCCUGGGCUUCAAAAGGUGAACACGUACAGCAGAUGUGAGAGCAACCACCAGCAAGGAACAAAACCUGCACUCAGCAGAACCCAGCCUAGAUCCGCUGACCAGCCAACCAACAUAGAGAUACAUUCAUGAGAAUAAAUAAUUGCUGCAAGUUACAGAGUUCUAUAUAAGUUUUUGGAUGUAGUAUUAUGAUGCUAAUAACUAAUGGAUAUAGAAAUUGGUGCACAGAGGAAAGGCCAUAUGAGCACACAGAGGGAAGGUGGCCGUCCACAAGCCAAGAGAAGAGGGCUCAAAAUGAAACCAAUCCACCUGGAGCCUGGAUCUGGGGCUUUUAGCGUAUAUAACUCUGAGAAAAUAAACUUGUGUUGGUUAGACCGCCUAGUGUUUCAUAUUUUGUUACAGCAUCCUGAGCUGACUAAUUCAUCUCAUAUGGGCACAUUCCUUGUUAGGAUUCUCUUACAGAGAAUCUCUUUCCAAGAUGAAAUUAAAGGGAAGUGAAUUCUCUCUUCAUUUCUUAAAAAUCACAAUGUAUAUCUGGGGAAUAAGAAAUUGUGGAAAAGCAAGGUGAAAUCCCCCAGGGGAAUGAGUUCCAGCAAUUCUCAUGACACACGGUGUGGCCUAACUCCCUAGCUUGUUGUUUUAUGUGCCUGGAGAAUCUGAAGAACAAGGCCAUCUGGAUCUCUAGACUUGAGUGCUGCUUUCCUGGAAUCCACCCUUGGAGCCCAGCCAUGUUGCAGGCUGACCCCAACCACCUGGAGGAGCCACCUGGGAGCACUGUGGUCCAUAGCCCCAACUGAGCUCCAGCCAGGUGAAUGUGCCAUCUUGUGAUGUUCAGUCCAGUCGAGACUUGUGGUGGCACAUCCUGCACGCCAUCUGAUGGCAACUCUGUGAAAGGCUCCUAGCAAGACCUGCCCAACCAAACCCUUCCUAAGCUCCUGACCCACAAAACAAUUACCCAAAUAAAAUGGUUGUUGUAAGUUGCCAAGUUUUGAGUUAAUUUGUCAGGUAGCAAAAGAUAACAGGAACAACCACCCAAAACAGAUGUGCAUUUGCCAGGGCCAAGGGAACUUACAGGGAACCACAUGUGAUAUUGGAGGAAGCAAAAAACCUUUAAGUUACAGUGAAUCACUGGAAGCAGCAGUGGGGUUGUGGGUCAGCUCGGAGGAAGGAGUGUUGAGGUCUAAGCAGGAGUGUCCUUUGGAGUCACAUGGUUCAGGGCAAAAGGGAAUGACAG
rnacentral:lncRNA from 1 species